GUUUGGUGGAACCUUUAAUUGGGUUAGUUAGGUUUGUUUGCCUUUUGCAUCAUGCUGUAUGGAUGUGGUUAACUUAUGUUAUAUACCGAAAAGUUUGGAUCUGGUGUUGAGUUGGUGUGAGAUAACACGAGUAGUGGUGUUGAAACUUGGUGCUAGGGGUGAUAAAUAAGUCGUCAAACUUUAUAUCUGUUUAGGGAUUUUUGUGUUUGUGGUACUUACCUGGUGAAGAGAUCAGGUAAGUGAAUAUAUCUAUUUUGCUUUCUGUAUUAGGUUAGGGUUAAAGUUACCCUUUUCUGGAGAACAUGUUAUAAUUUUGGUGUGAGGUGGUGAGAGUAGAUUGUGUUUUACAGAUCCCUUUUAUUUAAUUGUGCGUAGGUGAAGUAUCAUUUAAUAAGUAAUUUUAUUAGUCUUUAUGUAUUUCAAUUCCAUCCCGUCUGUUUAUUAAAAACAUUUCCAUAUGUUAUUUUAUAUGGUAGUACCUGCUCUAUGUGAUUUAUAAAUGGCCGCAGUAUCUUGACUGUGCGAAGGUAGCAUAAUUAAUUGCCCUUUAAAUGGGGGCUUGUUUGAAUGGUUUGACGUGGUUGUGAGUAACAUUAGGGUUUUAAGUGAAAUUGAUGGCGCGAGUUCAGAAUUUGCGUAAUUUAACUAGACGGAAAGACCCUAGGAUCUUUAAAUUUUUGCUUGGGGCAAGUGAGGAUAUUUUAUUUGCUUUAUGACCCCCUUCAAGGGGUUAGAGGUUUAAGUUACCCUAGGGAUAACAGAGUGAUAGUUUAUUAGAGGUCUUAUCGAUUAAACUGUUUGCUACCUCGAUGUUGACUUGGGUUAAAUGUUCUGGCGCAGUUGUUAGGAGUUUUGGUCUGUUCGACCAUAAGUACCCCCAUGAGUUGAGUUAAGACCGGCGUGAGCCAGGUCGGUUCUUAUCUGUUGUUCUAAUUCGUUAGUACGAAAGGAUUGCGGGUUAUUUUGGU
rnacentral:rRNA from 1 species